rnacentral:rRNA from 1 species
AAUGAACGUUGGCGGCGUGGAUUAGGCAUGCAAGUCGUGCGGAAAGGCUCCUUCGGGAGUACUCGAGCGGCGUAAGGGAGAGUAACGCGUGGAUAUCUACCCCCUGGACUGGGAUAGCGGCGGGAAACUGCCGGUAACACCAGAUAAUGUCUGCGGACCAAAGGUGUGAUUCCGCCGGGGGAUGAGUUCGCGUCCUAUUAGCUAGUUGGUAGGGUAAUGGCCUACCAAGGCAAAGAUGGGUACCGGGUGGGAGAGCAUGGCCCGGCUCACUGGGACUGAGACACUGACCAGACACCUACGGGUGGCUGCAGUCGAGAGUCUUCGGCAAGGGGGGCAAGCCUGACCGGGCGACGCCGCGUGCGGGAUGAAGGCCUUCGGGUUGUAAACCGCUGUCAGAGGGGAGGAAAUGCGUGAGAGUUCUCUCUCACGUUUGACCUAUCCUCAGAGGAAGUACGGGCUAAGUUCGUGCCAGCCGCCGCAGUAACAC